CUGACUGAUGCCGUCUCAGGAUGGGGCCUAGCAUUAUAAGGAUGCCCAAAAUGGGUGUCUUCACUACUGUUACUAUUAUUCUUGUUGUUGUUGUUACCCUGUCCUCUGUUUUCUCAGUUCCCCGUGGGUGUCAACAUUUCUUCUGCCUCCACCUGUGUUGGGGGGAAGGUGCCUCCCCAGAGGAAGGGUGGGUUUAUCUACCUCAGGAUGGUCCCCGGGACACUUCUGUCCCCUCCUCGGGGGUUAACAGCACAGGCAGGGGCCCCUUCCCAAACCAUCUCAGACCCCGGUUUGCGUUUUAUUAAUGUCCUGUGCACUCUCUCUGCUCCAAUUUCUGGGGACACCUGAAUCCACUUUGGGAUUCUUCUGUGCUAGCCUUGUGUAGCCCGGGUGACAAACACUUGGAAUUGAAUUCAAGUUAGUCUAUAGCACUAAUCCCUCUCAUUUGAUAGUUAUCCAUGCUUGGAGCCCCCUCCUGUGCCAGCCGCCGUGCUGGAGGUGGGGUCGCGAGGAUAAAGAAGAAGAUGGUGUCCACCUUGUGGCACGCAGAGCCGAGCUGGGGCGCAGACAUCCGUGAGACAGCCUCCCACAGGGAUGGAGCGGCUCACCUGGGGCUCUUAACCAGAGCCCGCCCCCUCUCCGGGAGGUUUUGACUCUGGGGCAAGGAAAGGGCCCAGGAAUCUGCAUUUUUAAAAAGUACUUCACAUGAUUCUUAUUAUCCAGGGUGUUUGGAAACAUUGUCAGAAGGAACAGGAAUGAUAAACAGAGCUCUGCACUGGGAAGGAAAGGAAGCCGAGAGGACCCAUCUGAGAGAUCAGGCCCAGCAGGCAGUGGGCAGCUCCAGAGGGAGUCCGUUUUCCAGUGCCACUGCCAAGAUGCACCGCAGAAGGCAGUCCUAGGACCCCGGCUCCAACGUCCUGCCCACCUCCUCUGCCCUCUGGGGUCUGCUGUCAAGAUGCUGACAGACGGGGCAGGGGGAACGCAGAAGAGCAGUCAGCCCCUGGGGGGACUCUCCUCCCCAUCCCUGCCCACUGAGCCAGCUCUGCCAACACCACCCACGCCUGCAGUCUGGGAUCCGCAGCCCCUCCGCAGGCCGGCAGAGGCUAUGGCUGCACCAGUUUGCACUCCCACCAGCAGUGGAUGAGAGCAGUGUAUCCUUUCCAACACUUGUUGUUUUUCAUCUUUUUAAUAACAGCCAUUCUGACGGGUGUGAGGUGAUAACUCAUGGUGGUUUUGAUUUGCAUUUCCCUAAUAGUUAGUGAUGUUAAAGAUCUUUUCAUGUGCCCGUUGGCCAUCUGUAUAUCUUCUUUCGAGAAAUGUCUGUUCGUGUCCUCUGGCCAUUUUGUGAUCAGGUUGUUCUUUCGUUGUUGUUGAAUUGUAUGAAUACUUUAUAUCUCCCCACCUCAACAGUAGCCAGGCCCACCGCCCCCAUAACCUGGGGGACGCCUCUGCCCACCCACCCAGCAUCUCUACCUCCUCUUCAACUAGAUUUAAAGCUCCCGGAGCAGUUCCUAGAAUCUGAGAUACGUGGGGGGAGAGGGGGAGAGCGGGGGGGAGGAGAAUGAGCCCCCAGCCUGCAAACUGAUGAAAAUGCUCCUGGGACCAUUUCUGGGAAAAGCCAAGUCCUCUGGGGUUUAUGAGAAACAGGAUGGGGAGGUGGGAUGGGCAGAGGGCCAUAGCCCACCAGCGUUUUCCGCAACCUUCCAUUCCAGGGGUGGCUCACCCCCUUCAUUACCCUCCUGGGGGCAUCGAACUCUCGCCCCCUCCUCUUUCUUGUUCCAGGGGCAGUGGUGAGGACCCCGUCAGCAAGCUCUCUCCGCCACGUGCCGAACCCGUGUGUGGAUCAGUGAGUUCUGGGCUGGCAAGGCCUCUGAAGAGUCUCCUGGGCCCGGAGCUCCCCUCGAGACAGCAGGGGUUGCUGACAGAUACUGGGCCAGCAGGACCAGCCUAACAGGCACCUCCAGCUGGCGGGCCCCAUGCCGUGUGUCAGCCUCUGCGGCCCGCACUUCCCAGACGUCAUCCCAAAUGACUGGCUAAGCCCCGUGAGUAGAAACUAUUAUCCUUGUACCCCUUUUACAGGUGAGGGAACCGAGGCACAGAGAGGUUAAGUGAGUUGCCCACAGUCACCCAGAGAACGAGCCGCACGCAGUGCCCGCAUUUAAACCCUCAUGCUGACUCCAAGAGAAGGCGAAAGUGUCCAGCUCACCCGUACCGGAAGAGGAAAGGGGUGACAGGGGACAGCAGCCCAGAGCACCUCGGGAAGUGACUGGGGGCAGGGCCGGGACCAGGUCAGGCAAGCGAGGAGCACGAGGGAAAUGGAGUUGUUUCCCCUGGGACCUCGGACAGACAGCUGUGGCCGUGAGCGCCACGGAGGCGGGACUUGGCCUGGCGUACGCCCCACUGGGGCUGCAGUGCCCAGCACAGGGGCUGGCACGUGCCAGGUGCUGGGUGAGGAUUUCAAAUGAAGACAGGAAUGAAUGAAUGAAUGAAAUGAACGGGAACCACCUCAUCUGGAGCAACGCCGUUGCCAAGGGCAGCCCUCCUGUGCAUCCUGAUCUACAGCCACCUUCAUUCCCAGACCAGAGGGUGCAACUCUGGGGCCUUUGAGGUCACGCUCAGCACACACAGACUCAGUCUGACCCCUCAGCUCUCCUAACCCGGGGCGAGAAAGUGGACUGACACCCUCGCAAGGAUCUCCUGCAGCAGCCCUGGGAGCCCUGAAGGGGACGGAGACUCCUGGCUCCACCUCUGACUUGCUGUGUGACCAUGAGCAAGUCACUAUGCCUCUCUGGGUGGGCCUUUCUUUUCUGAAAGAUGAGGGCUUGAAAGUGUCACCUCUUGAGACCCUCACUGGCUCCGUCUACUCAUUCAUCCAUUCACUCAAGAAACAGCCUGUGGUUCUAAAGGUUAAAGCCAAAAAAAAAGGGGCCUUCUGGAUCAAUUUUCUUAACCAGAAAAUGAAAAAUCCCCAGGACUUUUGCAUUCCUAGAGCAUUGCUAUUGAGGUUUUACUACACUUUUCCUGGACUCGGUUCUGCUGAAUUAGUGAAAUGGAAUUGGGGAAGAGAAGUGUUCAAGUUGUUAAGUGUCUGGCCCCCAAGAACUCCAGCCUUUAUGUCUCAGACCCCAUGCCCCUUCUUUUCAUGCACCCCAACUGGGAAGCGGACUGCAAGGAUAGAAAGUCACUUUUGGUGUCUGGCACAAUAAUAAAUUCUGAACAGUUCACACAGGAAGAAGCAUGGUGUCACAGGAAGUCAACUGGACAGGAGCAAAGGGACCUCGUCCUUACCCCAAAUCUGCCACCUCUGUAGUUGGGUGACCCCAUUUGAAGUACCUUCUGCUCUCUACCCCCUGGGCCUCAAUUUUCUAGGCUGAAUCAAAUGGUCUUUCAAGGGGCCCAAACAGGGGGACUGAUGAAAUCAGUUGCCGAAAGGGUCAGCAGGCAACAUAUGUGAGUAAAGCAGGACUGGUGCAUGGCAAUAGGGAGUGGUGGGGACUGUGGCCAAAUGACUGUGGCAAGCUCAGCAUAUCAGCUACACAGGGGAAUGUGGGCGCAAGGGGAGCCAGAUGAUCCCAUCUUUGAUGCAGAAUUUAUUUAAAUGUUGGUAAUUAAUUCAAUAUAGUCAUGCGCCACAUAAUGACGUGUUGGUCAAUGACGGACUGCAUAUACCAUGGUGGUCCCAUAAGAUUAGUACCCUAAAGCCUAGGCGUGUAGUAGGCUAUGCCAUCUAGGUUUGUGUAAGUACACUCUGUGACGUUUGCACAACGACAAAGUCACCUGACGACAUAUUUCUCAGAACGUGUCCCUGUUGUUAAGCGAUGUCUGACUGUACAUUUUUGAAGUCUUUCUACAACUUGAGACUCAGGUCCAUGCCUGUCAACCUGUCAGUCCCGACAUCUUCAACUCCAUCUCCUUUCUUGUGGUUUCUCAUUUUUUCUCUGAAGCCUGCUGGAUUUCUAGCACACGUCUGGUCUUCUGAAAAACGCUAAAAUGUUGCAUUAGGCCAUGGAGGCAGGAAAAGGCUGGGAGCAUGAGCACGUGCUUGUGCAUGCAUGCACACACACACACACACACUGCUCGGGGAGUGCUGCGUUCCCCGAAGCCAGCUGGACUGCCUCCCUCCUGAGCCAACAGGGCGAACGAGUGGACCGGACGUGUCCCAAGGUCUUCAGAUUGGGUCUCAGGCCUGGCAGGGAGCCACACUCGGGUCAUUUCUAGGAUUUCCUGCCCGGCUGCAGCGGGGGAGCCACCCCGCGAGGCUGCGGUCAGCUUGCCAGCUCCUGAGAGCCCCAGGGGGAUCCCACAGCACUGGUCCCUCAGUCGUAAACAGCACAUGGGUUGGGAGGCCUACCGCCUCACAUCCAAAUGAAACCCGCUCUUUUCCUCCUAGUGCUCAGAAAUAACCCACUGGUCCAAGAUGGAUACACGUGCAUCGGUAUAUACUUGUUUGGCCAUUUACUAUUCGCUCAAUAAAGUAUUUAUGGGACACCCACUGUGUGCAGGCUGAGGGUACACAGGUGACUAAAACCUCAGGGCGUCCCCAUUCCUCCACUUCACCUCCUAUGCUGUCACCCGCAAAACCACCUCCUACAGCUCAUCCAGAGCCUCCUGGGCACCUCAGCUUUUUUCUUACUAAAAAAUUUUCUUAAAAAUGAGCAAACCCAACAUCACUAAUCAUCAGG
rnacentral:lncRNA from 1 species